rnacentral:ncRNA from 1 species
UACGUGGAAUCCGAAAAACGUACGAGUAGGAG